AACCACGGUUGCAGAAAUGGACGACAACAGCAAAACAGCAUGCGAUAAAUGGACUGACGAGGAGGUUGAAGCUCUUCUAACCGUCUACGCCACAGAGGACAUUCGGAGAGGUUCUGAAGGCUCGCAGCGGAAUAUAAAAAUAUUGGCGAUGAUCAGUUCUCAGUUAGAGAACGCUGAGAUUUAUCACAACGCGAAGCAGCACAUGGAGAAAACUCACACAAGACUACAAAUAAAUUAAGAAGCGCAACAACCAGAGUGGGAUGAAAGGAAAAACCAGAAAAUUCCACCACUCGGACCACCGACCUGCCUACUCAGGCAACGCCGCAGCAAAUGAGCCCUGCGUGGGGCUUCUGGAGGCGAUCAUCUGCAGUGAAAACACCGCAACCUCAGAGGAGUUUGAAGAGACGGAGCCGAACAGCAUCCUGGAUGCUCCUGCUGCCACCAGCACACCUUGCUGCAUCGAUCAGCAACUAAACCAGAAUCGGCGUCAACCACCAUCAGCAGCACCAGCCAGCUGCCAGCACCCUCUGCCCCCCUAGACCUGAAAAAGGGCUGACACUCUUCUGGCUGCUGUGCAGGACAAGCUGUUAGAUGCUGAACAGCAGAGGCAAAGCGAUGCAGCUCCAACAUGCUGCAGGUCUUUCAGGAACCGGCACAAAGAAGGCAGAAGACGGGCAGAGCUGAAGCCAGCAGAGAUCUGUGAUGGAGGGUCUCUGGAUGUACUGGACAGGAUGGCAAGAAAAGCCAAAGUGAUAUGCAUCAUCAUAGCACAUGUAAAUAGUUAUUUCUGCAUUUCUGUAUUCACUAUAAA